CAGUAGCCACGGUAAUACGGAGGGAGCUAGCGUUAUUCGGAAUUACUGGGCGUAAAGGGCGUGUAGGCGGCCUGGGGCGUCCCAUGUGAAAGGCCACGGCUCAACCGUGGAGGAGCGUGGGAUACGCUCAGGCUAGAGGGUGGGAGAGGGUGGUGGAAUUCCCGGAGUAGCGGUGAAAUGCGCAGAUACCGGGAGGAACGCCGAUGGCGAAGGCAGCCACCUGGUCCACUUCUGACGCUGAGGCGCGAAAGCGUGGGGAGCAAACCGGAUUAGAUACCCCGGUAGUCCCUGUCUCUUAUAC
rnacentral:rRNA from 1 species